rfam:Oryza barthii chromosome 5, whole genome shotgun sequence.
AAAAAAAUAAACCCUGAGUUUCCGUGUCCAAUUUUGACUGUCCGUUUUAUAUGAAAUUUUUUUAUAAUUCGUAUUUUCAUUGCUGUUAGAUGAUAAAACAUGAUUAAUAUUUUAUGCGUUACUUGUCUUUUUAUUUUUUUCAUUUUUUUUAAAUAAGAUGGACGGUUAAUAGUUAGGCACGGAAACCAGGGUUUGUCUUUUU